GACGAACGCUGGCGGCGCGCUUAACACAUGCAAGUCGAACGGAAAGGCCUGCUUUCCCUUGUGGAUUGCGGGUACUCGAGUGGCGAACGGGUGAGUAACACGUGAGUGAUCUGCCCCCAACUUGGGUAUAAGCCUGGGAAACUGGGUCUAAUUCCCGAUAGGACUGCAGGGUGGUGCCUGUGGUGGAAAACGAUUUUCUAGUGGUUGGGGAUGAGCUCGCGGCCUAUCAGCUUGUUGGUGGGGUAAUGGCCUACCAAGGCGGCGACGGGUAGCCGGCCUGAGAGGGUGGACGGCCACAUUGGGACUGAGAUACGGCCCAGACUCCUACGGGAGGCAGCAGUGGGGAAUAUUGCACAAUGGGCGGAAGCCUGAUGCAGCGACGCCGCGUGGGGGGUGGCGGCCUUCGGGUUGUAAACUCCUUUCGACCGCGAGGAAGCCACCUGGUUGGAAGGGUGGUGACGGUAGUGGUAGAAGAAGCACCGGCUAACUACGU
rnacentral:rRNA from 1 species